rnacentral:lncRNA from 1 species
CAUCAACUGUACUGCACCCAGGGAAGCUAACCUUGGUCCUAGGGGUUCUCACCCCAGGCUACCCAGACAGAAUGGGUCCCAGACCUGGGCAGGGGUGGGGCAGGCUCAAACUGAGACACAGUUCCCCAGCUGGCAGCCAACUGCUCAGCCUGCUCCACCCCACAGGUGACAUUCCAUGGAGGUGACGACGGGGCCAAGCUGUACCAGCCUGGGACUUCCUUGUAGCCUCAACUCCACUAUGAUGGUCAAAUUCCCUUGUAGGGGGGCUUAGCCAAAUCCUGAGAGCUCCUGGGUAGGGCUGGCAUUAGAAGAAGUGGGAGAAGCCCUCCUGCCAAUCUCUCCAAGAGGGCAGAUCUGGUCUACUGGGGACAGGAAAACAGACUUUAGCACCAGGAUCCCAGAGCUCCCCAACCCACUGACCCUGUGCCCACUGCCUGGGCUGGAGUGGAGCACAGAAUGUUUCCCACCCUCCCCAACACUCAGGUAUUCAGGAAGGCAGUACCAGGUCACACACUGCAGUGACCCACCCAGCUGUCCUAGCCAGGCUUCAAAGAGGCGUCCAGCAUGCUCCAGGGACCCUAAACCACCUCCUCUCAGAUUCCUGCUCUGAGCCUGGGGCUGGAAAUGCAACUCUACAGAGAGUCAGCAGGUGGGACAAAAGCUGGCCCUGCCUGCCUCUUCUACCCAGGUGCUGGGCGGCACCACUGGCCACCCCAGCCAGGUGCAUGAGCCUCAGUG